rnacentral:rRNA from 1 species
GCUCGUGUCGUGAGAUGUAUGGUUAAGUCCAUUAACGAGCGCAACCCUUAUGUUUAGUUGGAUUUUUCUGAACAGACUGCCCUGGCAACAGGGAGGAGGGAGGGGAUGACGUCAGGUCAGUAUUUCCCCUACGUCUUGGGCUACAAACACGCUACAAUGGCCGGUACAAAGGGCAGCAAACCCGCGAGGGGGAGCAAAUCUCAUCAAAACCGGUCUCAGUUCGGAUUGCAGGCUGAAACUCGCCUGCAUGAAGCUGGAAUCGCUAGUAACGGUAGGUCAGCACACUACCGUGAAUACGUUCCCGGGUCUUGUACACACCGCCCGUCAAACCAUGAAAGUGGCCAACACCCAAAGUCUGAGCUUGCCUCA